rnacentral:rRNA from 1 species
UGGGGAAUAUUGCACAAUGGGCGAAAGCCUGAUGCAGCGACGCCGCGUGAGUGAAGAAGUAUUUCGGUAUGUAAAGCUCUAUCAGCAGGGAAGAAAAUGACGGUACCUGACUAAGAAGCCCCGGCUAACUACGUGCCAGCAGCCGCGGUAAUACGUAGGGGGCAAGCGUUAUCCGGAUUUACUGGGUGUAAAGGGAGCGUAGACGGCGAAGCAAGUCUGAAGUGAAAACCCAGGGCUCAACCCUGGAACUGGUUUGGAAACUGUUUUGCUAGAGUGUCGGAGAGGUAAGUGGAAUUCCUAGUGUAGCGGUGAAAUGCGUAGAUAUUAGGAGGAACACCAGUGGCGAAGGCGGCUUACUGGACGAUAACUGACGUUGAGGCUCGAAAGCGUGGGGAGCAAACAGG